rnacentral:rRNA from 1 species
UAGGGAAUAUUGGACAAUGGGCGAAAGCCUGAUCCAGCAAUGCCGCGUGAGUGAUGAAGGCCUUAGGGUUGUAAAGCUCUUUUACCCGGGAUGAUAAUGACAGUACCGGGAGAAUAAGCUCCGGCUAACUCCGUGCCAGCAGCCGCGGUAAUACGGAGGGAGCUAGCGUUGUUCGGAAUUACUGGGCGUAAAGCGCACGUAGGCGGCGAUUUAAGUCAGAGGUGAAAGCCCGGGGCUCAACCCCGGAACUGCCUUUGAGACUGGAUUGCUUGAAUCCGGGAGAGGUGAGUGGAAUUCCGAGUGUAGAGGUGAAAUUCGUAGAUAUUCGGAAGAACACCAGUGGCGAAGGCGGCUCACUGGACCGGCAUUGACGCUGAGGUGCGAAAGCGUGGGGAGCAAACA